GACGAACCGUCCUAACGUUAUUCGGAAUCACUGGGCUUAAAGGGCGCGUAGGCGGACGAGCAAGUCCGGCGUGAAAUCCUUCGGCUUAACCGGAGAAGUGCUUUGGAUACUGCUCGUCUUGAGGGAGGUAGGGGCAUGUGGAACUUCUGGUGGAGCGGUGAAAUGCGUUGAUAUCAGAAGGAACGCCGGUGGCGAAAGCGACGUGCUGGCCCUCUUCUGACGCUGAGGCGCGAAAGCUAGGGGAGCAAACGGG
rnacentral:rRNA from 1 species